AAUCCAUAGGUUAAUGAGGCGAACCGGGGGAACUGAAACAUCUAAGUACCCCGAGGAAAAGAAAUCAACCGAGAUUCCCCCAGUAGCGGCGAGCGAACGGGGAGGAGCCCAGAGCCUGAAUCAGCAUGUGUGUUAGUGGAAGCGUCUGGAAAGGCGCGCGAUACAGGGUGACAGCCCCGUACACAAAAGCGCAUGUGCUGUGAGCUCGAUGAGUAGGGCGGGACACGUGGUAUCCUGUCUGAAUAUGGGGGGACCAUCCUCCAAGGCUAAAUACUCCUGACUGACCGAUAGUGAACCAGUACCGUGAGGGAAAGGCGAAAAGAACCCCGGCGAGGGGAGUGAAAAAGAACCUGAAACCGUGUACGUACAAGCAGUGGGAGCCCCACCACUAAGCCAGUGGUGAACUCCACAUACGCAUCCUUUGCUGAGGAUACGGUUAACGGAGCGAAAGCGACGUUCAACCGCAAAAGAAGCAGAGGGGGCUUAGUGGUGGGGUGACUGCGUACCUUUUGUAUAAUGGGUCAGCGACUUAUAUUCUGUAGCAAGGUUAACCGAAU
rnacentral:rRNA from 1 species